GGAGGGGUGGCCGAGUGGUUUAAGGCGCACGCCUGGAAAGCGUGUGGGCUCGAAAGGGCCUCGUGAGUUCGAAUCUCAUCCCCUCCGCCA
rnacentral:tRNA from 1 species